AGUCUAAUAGUUAAAAAAAUAAUAAUAUUAAAUUGCAAAUUUAAAGAUGAUAAAAAUUAUCUAAGACUU
rnacentral:tRNA from 1 species